rnacentral:rRNA from 1 species
GACAGAGGGUGCAAACGUUGUUCGGAAUUACUGGGCGUAAAGCGCGUGUAGGCGGUUAUGCAAGUCGGGUGUGAAAGCCCGGAGCUCAACUCCGGAAGUGCAUUCGAUACUGCGUAGCUAGAGUACUGGAGAGGAUGGUGGAACUCUCGGUGUAGAGGUGAAAUUCGUAGAUAUCGAGAAGAACACCGGUGGCGAAGGCGGCCAUCUGGACAGAUACUGACGCUGAGGCGCGAAAGCCAGGGGAGCAAACGGG